GGGACAGCACAUGUAGCCAAUGAGAGCGGAGAUUGGUAGAUCAGCAGCCAAUGAGAGGCAUGUGGAUGGCCAGCUCCAUGCUGGUCAGUUGGCCACCAGGCUGUAGUUAACUGACCUUGUGGAGCUGAGCUUCUCUUCUUGUGCUGUUGAGUGGGCUUCACUUUGUUUCAACUUCAGAUUGGAAUCGGAAGGAAAUAUUGGUGAUCUUGGCAGAUCAGUCAGAGAAAGGGAGUAGAGUUACAGUGACUGAUUGUAUCAGAUUUUGCAUUGGGAUUGGAAAAGCAGAGGGAAAAAUGAAUUUCUCCCGCAAUAACGAUAUUCCACUUCCUGAUUUACUCUGUGGGAGGCCAGACAGAGUAACCUCGAAGGAGCCACAUUUUAUGCUGCUGGUGUUGUCCCUCAUUUUUGUGUCAGGAAUGUUGAGGGUUAUAUUAAAGAACUAUGAACCAGCUAUCCUGACAGUUCUUUCUCUUUUGGGAUUUUGCAUAGGACUCUUGGGCCGUGAAUUUAAUCAGGUAUCAUAGAAAUAAGUUAAAGAAUGGGAUGAAAAUAAGUUAAAUGGGAUAAAUAAAA
rnacentral:lncRNA from 1 species